rnacentral:rRNA from 1 species
UACAGAGGGGGCCAGCGUUAUUCGGAAUUACUGGGCGUAAAGGGCGCGUAGGCGGCCCGCUAAGUCGAACGUGAAAUCCCCGGGCUUAACCCGGGAACUGCGUCCGAUACUGGCAGGCUUGAAUCCGGGAGAGGGAUGUGGAAUUCCAGGUGUAGCGGUGAAAUGCGUAGAUAUCUGGAGGAACACCGGUGGCGAAGGCGGCAUCCUGGACCGGUAUUGACGCUGAGGCGCGAAAGCUAGGGGAGCAAACGGG